UUUAGCAUUAGAACAAAUGACGCAAUCGUGAUCUUCUGGGCCAUGCCUUCGCUAAUUGGAUAAGACCACGAUAACCACGGCAUUGGAGGCCUAGGCGGAAUGGCUGCCGGCUAUUGGGGCUACUCCACACUGACGAAUGGCCAGCCUUAUCCCUUCGUUGAGGUGGGUUUAUCUCUUCCAAAACCUUUUCUUUAAAUCCGCUUCACCCCCUCCGGAUGAUCUACCACUGAGCUCCGCUGGCCAAAACCCCAUUCUUCCCUUGCAAAACCCCUCUUUCUUUGUUCCCAUGUUUCGAGUUCCAUUAUCUUUCUUCUCGCUAGAAUCUGCUGUCGUUGCCUAAGAUUCGUCAGCCUCUGCCUACACCUGUGAGCUCCUUCCCUCACCCAUUUCCAUUCUUACUAAAGCUGAGCUGAUUCUUCCGAUUUUCAGCUGAGCCGAUUGCCAUAUUCCGCCAUUUCUUCUUCGUGUUCGACCCAUUCCCACCGGCGAACACUAUCGUCGCACGCCGCUGACUAGUCAUAGAGCCACAACUGCCACGAAGUGGCCACCAUGAACCCUCCCCCUCCCUCUCCUCUUCCCUCUCUUCUUCCUUCCCUCCGUUUUCAUCAUUAUCUUCUAAUUUCUUUUCUUUUCUUCCUAUUUUUUCUUCAUUUAUUGUUUUCAUAAAUCCUCUUCUUCUCUCUCUUCCCUUUGAUAUUUUCUUUGACUGCAGACCAGUUACGAGCUUUCCCCGAUUUUCUCUCUAUUCUCUUUAUUUAGUUUAAUUUUCUUUUUAAUUGUAAAAUUAGAUCUAAUCCAAGAAUCUUAAUAUGAUCAUGUGGAAAUCAGGAUCCAUGAUUGAGACCAAUUCCUUCACAUUUAGAUCCAGAAGAAUAAAUCAAGAUUUGGAUCACGUAGUAAGGAGCUUAAAUUCUAGAAAACAUCAGAUUAACUUUCUUUAAAUAAAUUGAUUGGACAUUUAUAUUAUAUUUAUUUAUUAUUAUUAGCGAUUGUGGGCUAUUUUUUUUUGAAUAAUAGCAUUAGAUUAAUUGUUUUUACUACCACUCAAGUUGGGAAUAAUGUACAUAUAUAUAUGAAAAAGACUGGCCUUCCUAUUCUAUGGGGUUAAACUCUAUGGAUGUGUGGACGUCUAUCACAUGCUCGGCUUGAGCUAUCAAAUUAGGGCGUGACAACGACUAGCAUAAUUUUCAUAAAACAAAAUUAUAAAGAUACAAGCAUGCUAAAAUGUGAAAUGGAAUAAAAAAGAGAAAAUCAAGCAACUAACAAUAUGAAAUAGUGCAACUAGAGGUGCUAAAUGUUCUCAAUAUUAUUAAUUCCACCCAUUUUAUUGGCUAGUUUUACGUACUCGGAUAAAAAUUAAACAUUUGAUGGAUGCGGAAGUGGACACAAAAUUAGCACCAACCCACUUUCAGUCUGCUAUGGUGAAAAUGAAAAGAUAAAACAUUUUGGAUGAAAUAUCCCUUCCGAACAAUCCUAACCAGCAUUUAUUUAGCUUUAAGAACAAGGGCUUAAGGUAAUUUUGUUGAGAGAAAAGGGUUCAAGGUAAUUUAUGGAUGAUUAUGUAUCAUAUAUCGCAUGGUUUGUUGAAUGCCUGAAGUUCAUAUCAUUUGAAAUAUUAGCAUAGUAAAACAAUAUAUAAGUCUUCCCUACAUAUGUUAAUAUAUGCAUUUCUAGAAUAGAUGCAUGUAUAUACAAGUGUAUGCAUGUGUGCGCUCCUGCAGUGUCAAUACUCGAAAACAAUUCAGGUAUAUUUAUAAUAAAUCCCUUAUUAAGUUCUUUUAUACUUUUCUCCGUGAGACUUGCAGGAGUGCCUCAACUGAUGCUAAGACCUUACAGAAACCAUGCUAAGUAACCACAGUUUGGCGGAAGUAGCAUAUAUGAUGGUUCUAUCAUCAACCAUUCAAGGACUCAAAAUACAUAGCUGUCGACAACCUCGCAAAUUGGUAUCCACCCGUCCAAAAUGGAUGAUUGCUUUCUAGCAGUAGAUUACACUGAUUAAAGAGUUGUCAGAGCUAUCAAGCAAUUUAAUUUUAAAACAAUUCCAUUUUUCAUUCUUCUUUGUCAUACCUGUCGGUACCGUACCGAGCGUCCUAUACCAUACCAGUACUGAAUCAGCAUGUAGUCUUGUACUAUACCAACAUUCGAUACAUCUUAUUGUCUCGUAUUGUGCCGCA